rnacentral:lncRNA from 1 species
UAAGUGCACUGGUUUUUGUCUAUAAUGAUUAUUUUUAAAUAUUCAUCUUUAAGACAUGUUAGACGUAUCUCGUAUAAUGUAGAUAAAUAUGCAAGUCCAUAGACAACAUAAAUUCUUCAUAAAAAUAACAAAAAUAUUCAACUAUACUAUCAGACAAUUAAUGUUCUUUGAUGAUGUAAAUGGAGGAGAGGAGACCGAUACAAUUCAAAAAAAUAUCUAAGUAGUGAAUAUUAGAAUAUGAUGUUCUUUAUGGAUAAACAACUAUGUAUUUUUGGGUACUAUAUGAUGAUGUUUUUUGAAAUAGUAUUAAUCGUCAUUUUUGCGUAGUACUUAAGAGUUAUGUUUAUAUCAUUCCAACUAUGGUAUUAAUAGUUUGAAUAUUAAUUUUUUUUUUAUCAUUAUCAAUUUUAGUUAUGUUUAUAUAUUGUGCAUUUAUAUAUUUAAUUUUAAAUUUAAUUUAUAAAUAACGUAUCUAAGCCGUAUUGUAUCUGGAAUUUUGAAAAUCUUCUCGUAUCACCGUAUCGAUAUCGUAUCACGUAUUCAGACUUCAUAGUACUAAAAAUUAACUUAAUUGAAUUUUUUUAAGUCCACCAUCUAGAAGAGUCCAUCAUUAACUUAAUUGAAUUUUUUUGAAGUCCACAAUCUAGAAAUCCAUCAUUAACUUGAUUGAAUUUUUUUUUGAAGUCCACAAUAUAGAAGAGUUCAUCUCUCUAUUCUCUAACACCUCAUUUGUUCAACAUAAUCUCUCUCACAAUUGGAACUGGAAAUAUACCUCCAACAUCAUCAUGUUGUGCUACAAACACAUAUGUACCAUCUUCUUUUCUAUUUACCAUUUUUAUUUUCAAAUCAGAGAUAUUAUUAGACACCCCAACCACCACCUUCAACGUUAGAUUUCGACCACCAUGGACCAAUUUUUGAAAAAUUGUCUUCAUAGAGACUUUUCUCGACCUUCUCUAUAAAACCCACAAUAUAAAAAUGAAGAUUGAAAUACUUUUUCCGGUAACCACCGUACCGGAAAGUGAAACAACCAUACCAGAAAUACUGUGCGACUUCGUCAUCUCCAUUCUUUAUGUAGAUGCAAGAACAUCAAAUUAAUUAAGACAUGAAAAGAAUGAAUAAAACCAUAUAUGCUUUGAAUCGGUUUAUUUUUAUUUAAUCUAAGUAGAGUGGUUUGAAUCAGUUUAUUUUGUUAUCUUUAUCUUGUUUUUAUUUUUUUCUCUGUUUCUUUUUUCUUUAUAUUAAAUUUUUCGAUUCUCUUUCUAAUUAUCAUUUUUUUNNNNNNNNNNNNNNNNNNNNNNNNNNNNNNNNNNNNNNNNNNNNNNNNNNNNNNUGAAGUUUAAUGUGAAAGUUGGAGUUUGAAAGACAAAAAUCUCAAUACUCUCUUUUAUUUUGAUUUUUGUUUUUUUCGUCCGUCACUUUUUUUAAGCUCAUUCCUUGAGAGUCACAAAAUAAACAGUAUUAAUAACAUUUACCUAGAUCUUUGUUGUGCUGAGCAUUAAAUUUUGCUGCAAAUAGAAAAAACGGAUUUGUUAUAUAAUGAAGUUGAAGAUUAUAAAGAUAUGAUAGCAAUAAAGAAUAAAGCGGAAGAAUGAAUUUCACUAACAUGAAAAGAUGCGGGUGAAGCAAACUGAUUUGUAGUCAUUCUUUCCAUUCAUUCUAGGAUGAAACACAACAAAAAGUUAAUAGUAAAAAAAUGCAGAAAAACCAAAUAAGCAGUAGUGUGUGGUUUCUACCUUUUAGUUUAUAGUUGUUAGUCUCCUAAUUAUUUUUGCAUCAUUGUAGUUACUUAUGUACAAAUUUAUGUUUGUUGAGUAUUUCUUAUACUAUGAGAUUGUUUUCUAAUAAAUUUGGCUGCCUUAAAAAAAAAUGAUAUGAAGGAAAGAAAAAAUAAAGGAGAUAUAUGAACAUAAAAAAUAGCGAUUUUGAUAAUCAUUGUGUUCAUACCUUUGUCAAGAGGAUGAGAGUUUCAUUUGACUUUUGNNN